rnacentral:lncRNA from 1 species
AGCCAUGGAAGAGGGUUUGGAGCUGUUAUUCCAUAUUUUGGCUUCAAGUAAGUUUAAUUCUUGCUUUGUCCUUGAAAUUUUUAUAUUUUUACACUUUUACAAUUAGGUCCAACUUAGUAUGCUACUAGUUUCUCAUUUUUUUGAAAGUUUUGGAAGAUACUAAUGAUAAGUUCAUAUGAUUUUUGUUAUUUUGUGAUGAAAUUGAGAUGUUAAUGGAUGUUUAAAGGUGUUUUAUUAAAAAAAUUUUAGAUGAAAACAUGUUUUAGGGAUUAAAUUGAAAAGUAUUGAAAUCGUGGAGAAAUUCUAAAAUUUCAUGGAAUCCAUGGGCUGUUAUUGAUAUGUAUGAGAAAUAAUAGGCUUGAAUCAAGGAUUAUAUUGCAAGAAUUUCAUUUUCCAAUCCUAGGGACGAAAUUAUCAUGUAUUAAAAGUUUAGAGUCAAAUUGGUAAUCAAUAUAUUACACUAAACAGUUUUGGGCAGCAGCAGUGGUCUAACUUUGAAAAAUCACCAAAAAUUGUGGGAAUUGAAUUAGAAGAUGAAUAAAAUAUGAAAUUAAAUAUUAUUGAGUGUAGUUUCUCAUAGAAGAAAUGAUGUGAGCAAUGGAAUUGUAAAUCAUGAGAUAUAAUAAGUUUUGUGAGACAAUGUCAGAAUGAUUUCGGGUUUCCCUGUUCUGACUUUAGAAAAUCAUAAAAAAUUUACGAAAAAUAAUUAUGAGUUAUAAUUUAUAUGUUUAGAAUUCUUUAUGAGUCUAUUUUCAAAGGAAAUAAACAAAAACAUCAUCCGAAUUCUGUACAAUUAGACAAUUCAUUUUUAGUAGAGAGUGGUCAGAACUGUCAGACAGCAAAACAGAGGAAAGUUUAAAGAAUAAACUGUAUUAAUUGGCUAAACCAAAAAUUCUGAAAAUUUUAUGGUAAGAAGAUAUGUGAGUCUAGUUUCAUGUAAAAUUUACGGAUCUUAAUUUGGAGCUCUGUAGCUCCAGGUAAAAAUAAUUUAGUGACUCUGACUCGGAUAAAUAGCUUUGAAUAUACAUGUGAGUGAAUAGUGAAAUUAUAGUUAAUGUUGUUUAAGUGUGGUAUAUACAUUAAGGAUGUGGAAUAGAGAGGAGGAGGAGGAAAAUUGGAAAAUAUAUGAAUGAUUUGUGUAUAAUUGGUCAUAGGCUUGAUUAUAAUUGAUAAAUGAAGAAAUAGAAAUGAUACUUGCAUUUGUGCAUUAUUGGUCACGGUUUAAGCUCAUUUGUGAAAAUAAAGUUUCAUAGUAUGUGUGUAUGGUAUAUUCGGUAUAUGAUUUGGUAUGAAAUAAUGUCAUGAAUGGUUUAUGAAUUAACACAUGUCUGUAAGCGUGAUACAUGAAUAAAUGUUGUGCUCAUCCAUGCUUAUAAUGCUUGUGUUAUAUGUGUAUUUGGCUAACGUAUUUGGUGUACAUGCUUAGGCUUUGGCCAAGCAGUGGCUAGAUUAUGCCACGUUAAAUUUAUAAGUUAUGCAUUGAAAUUGUAAGUGCCUAAUUGAUAUGGUGCUUGUGAUAUGCGUAGGAAACGAGUGUGGAAAGGUAAUGAAAUAGUAAGUUCAUAUGGCUGAAAUUUAGUGAUUAAAUGUUAAUUUCAUGAAUUAUAUAAUGUAUGAUGAAAUAUAUAUUUAUUGUUGAAUUGAAAAUAAAAUAAAAGUGUGAAAACUGAAUAAAUGAUCAAAUUGAGCGGAACGCCGGAUUUGAGUACUUCUGAUCAGUGACAAGUGAUAAAGUGAUAAGUGGUAGCUUUAGCUACACUUACCUGAUCAAGUGACAAAGUGAUAAGUGGUAGCUUUAGCUACACUUAUCUGAUCAAGUGACAAAGUGAUAAGUGGUAGCUUUAGCUACACUUACCUGAUCAAGUGACAAAGUGAUAAGUGUAAUCAAGUGAAAAAGUGAUAAGUGGUAGCCUAGCUACACUUAUCUGAUCAGGGACAAGUGAUAAGUGAUCAUACGUAAGACCAUAGUUAUACUGUGGCAAAGUGGAAGUGAAGUACUCAAUUUUCUGUAACCGUUCCCUAAUUUGAAUAAGGAUGGUAAGUGACAAAUUGACCCAAAAGAAUUACAGUAAAUGGAUAAGUGGUAGUGAGUUUAUACAAGGGGACCUACCAAUGAUUGUGGUUGACAGGUGAACUUAGUAAAUGAGUUAAUGAAUGGUAUAAUCGAUAAAAGUUGAAUUAAAUGGUAAAUACGUAUUAGUGUUGAACUUAAUGACAUUGAAUUGUACGUGAAUUAAAUGGAAAGUGCUAAUGAUAUGAUUUAAAUUGUGAGCAUGAGAAAUUGCGAAUUGAAUGAAAUGGAAAUGAAACAUUGAGUUGCAUGAGUAUGUAUCGGGUCUCGUAGGACCUAAUUAUUAUGAUUAUAAUAUUUUGAGGAUAUAUUGUGAAAAGUUAUAGAAGCAUGUUAAUAAUUUUGAAAGUUUUAAUUUAGAUGAAAUUUUAUAACUCAGUUAAAUACGUUAACAAGUGUAUGUGUUCUGGUAAUGUCUCGUACCCUAUUCCGGUGUCGAAUACAGGUAAGGGGUGUUACAAACUUACCAUGCAUUUAUACAUAAAGUAAGCAUACAAAGCGCAUCCAAAGCAAUUUGGUCAUUUGCCUAACACAUAACUUCACCAAGCAUGUUAGUCAUGUAUUUCAUGUAAAUAUCAAGAACAAGGAUGAGCUCAUUAGGUAUCGAGUUUUCAAAUAUUUCAUGCAUAUACAGAUAAUAGUUUCAUUUUGAUUUCACAUGUUAUCAUGUCAGAAAUUCACCCGUUGAAUCAUUUGAAAUUUCGAUGGAUACUCGAGUAGUACACCUGAAGUGUACAAUAUUAUAAAUCUGUUAAUUCAUAUCUGGGAGUGCUUUUAUGAGCACUUAAGUAGAAAGCUCUCUUUCAAGCACUAUAACGGGAAGCUCAUUGAGUCUUGUAACUGGAAGCUUAUCCAGACAAUAUAACGGGAAGCUCAUAAAGAGCCUAUAAUGUAACACCCCUAACCCAUAUCCAUCUCCACAAUAGGGUUAUAGAGCAUUACCGGAGUUUACAAAUUAAUUUACAGACAUUUCAUUUCAUCAAGCAUUCAUAUUUAAAAUCAAUCAAAAUCAAAACAUUAAUGAGCUAACGUUGACCAAUUUAACUCAUACAUGCCAUUAUAACCAGAAUCAAAACAUCCAAAAUUACCAAUAGAAUUAAUAGAUAGUGUGAUAAACAUUCAUACAUCCAUUCAACGCAUUAUUCCCAUUUUUAUCAAAUAUAUCAAUGUUUCAUCAAUUUUCAUACAAUGAACAUUCAAAUCAUAUUCACAUCAAUAACAUACAUUUCAAGCAUUUAAGAAUAUAAUUCAAGUUCCACGAACUUACCAGACUAAAUUGCAAAAAUACAAAAAAUUUAGGGAUAUUUUAGUAAUUUUCUAUUUUCCUCGAAUUUCCACCCAAUCAUGAUCUAAAUUAAUAUUUCAUGCAAUUUGGUCACUUUUUGACAUUUUUACCAAUUUACCCUUAAAAUAUUACUUUUAUUCAAUUUAGUCCUUAAACCUAAAACAUGCAAAUUGGUUAUUUUUAAUGAAAACUCAUGCUAGUUGAAUAAUCAUUUAUUUUCCUCCUCCUCCUCCUCUCCAUUUCACAUCCUUAAUGUAUAAUAUGCUUAUAUGUAACAUUAUCUAUAAUUUCAUCAUUUAUUUAUAUAUUAAUUCAAAGUUGUCCACUUGAGUCAUAGUCACUAAAUUAUUUAUAUCUUGAGCUACGACACUCUGAAUCAAGAUCUGCUAAAUUCUUAUGAAACUAGACUCACAUAUCUUCUUACCAUAAAAUUUUCAGAAUUUUUGGUUUAUCCAAUAAGUAUAGUUUAUUCUUUAAAGUUUCCCUAUUUCACUGCUUGACAGUUCCGACCCCUAUUCACUAAAAAAUAAUUAUCUCUUUGUACAGAAUUUGGAUGAUGUUUCUGUUUGUUUCUAUUGAAAAUAGGCUCAUUUAUAAUUUUAAACAUAUAAAUUUAAGCCUCUAAUUAGUUUAUUCAAUUUUUGAUGAUUUUCCAAAGUCAGGACAGGGGAACCCGAAUUCAUUCUGGCAUUGUCUCACAAAAUUUAUUAUAUCUCAUGAUUUACAAUUCCAUUACUUACACCGCUUCUUCUAUGAGAAACUAGACUUAAUAAGCUUUAAUUCCAUAUUUUUUUCAUCCUCUAAUUCGAUUUCCAUAGUGAUUUUUCAAAGUUAACCUACUACUGCUGUCCAAAACUGUUUGAGUGCAAGAUGUUGAUUACUAAAUUUAUAACUCCCUUAUUCCCUUUGUCUAUAAUAUUUCCCAUCAUUUUCACUUAUUUCCCUUCACUAAUAUAUCAAUAACAUAAGAAUUUAUUUAAGAAAACUCUACUAUAACAUCAUUUCCAUACUUUUUCAACAAUAACAAACUUAAAAAUAUAUUGAAAUCUUGAUGUUUUUACCUUAUGCUAUUGAUUUCAAUCUUUAACUUGAUUUUCUCUCUCCUCCAGCUUCUAUUUCUUGAAUCUAACUUGACAUUCUAGCUCUCCAUUGUCUCCUUCUUAUUUUUCUCUCUUGGAAGCUAUGAAAAUUCUUUUGAUUUCUAGGUGAAAAUAGUGAAUUUUUGGUGAAAUGACCAAAUUGUAAAGAAAGUAAAACUUUCUUUCUUCUCUUCUCUUCUCUUCUAACGUUGGUUGCAUGGAAAGAUGAUGAUUUUUCAUCACCUUUACUCCCUUUUUUUAUUAAUCAUUUAAUAAUAAAAUAAUACUAAAAAUCUUAAUAAAAUAUUAAUUAAAUAACAUUUAUCUAAUUAAUUAAUUAAAAAUAUCACAAACAUCAUAAUUACCUUCUAGAAUUCUCUCUCUCCAUUUGACCAAUUUUCCCUUUAUAAUCUUUUAAAAUUCCAUCAUUGAGUCAUCACUUAAUUUGAUAAAAUUACAAUUUAGUCCCUCAAAAUUUUUCACCUUUUCAAUUUGGUCCUAAUUCAUCCAUUUUCCUUAGUUUCUAGAUUAUUUCACCCUUAACUAUUUACACUAUUGGUCCUUCACCUUUUUCAUAUUUACACUUUAACCCCUCAAAUUUUAAGUAUUUACUUUUGGGCAACAAAACUUUUCUCACUUUUACAAUUUAAUCCUUUCUUGAAUUAAUAUGUCAUAAUAUACUUCCCAAUAUUGACAUAACUCAAUAUUACCUUUUUAUCACUUUAUUUCCUUAUUUUACUAUAUCAAGGAUAUUAUCUUACUUUCUUACUGUAGUAAUUUUCGGGGUAUUACAUAUAACGGGUAGCUCCAAAGAGCAAUUAACGGGUAGCUCCGAAGAGCACUGAACGGGAAGCACCAGAUAGCCAUAUAAGGAGAAGUUCAAGCAAGCACUAAUGGGAAGCUCACAAAUAGCCUUUAAUCGGGAAGCUUACGAAGAGCCAUAUAACGGGACGCUUAUAAGAGUUGCGGUGUGCCCACAACACAUGUAGGG